UACAGAGGGUGCAAGCGUUGUUCGGAAUUAUUGGGCGUAAAGCGCGUGUAGGCGGCAACGUAAGUCGGGUGUGAAAUCCCUCAGCUUAACUGAGGAAGUGCGCCCGAAACUGCGCUGCUUGAGUACCGGAGAGGAUGGCGGAAUUCCAGGAGUAGAGGUGAAAUUCGUAGAGACCUGGAGGAACACCGGUGGCGAAGGCGGCCAUCUGGACGGUAACUGACGCUGAGACGCGAAAGCGUGGGUAGCAAACAGG
rnacentral:rRNA from 1 species